rnacentral:rRNA from 1 species
AGAGUUUGAUCCUGGCUCAGAUUGAACGCUGGCGGCAUGCCUAACACAUGCAAGUCGCACGCGAAAGGGGGCAACCCCGAGUAGAGUGGCGGACGGGUGCGUAAUACGCAGGAAUCUACCCACGAGUGGGGGACAACCCGGGGAAACCCGGGCUAAUACCGCAUGAGACCUACGGGUGAAAGCGGGGGAUCGCAAGACCUCGCGCUGGUGGAUGAGCCUGCGUCCGAUUAGCUAGUUGGUAGGGUAAAAGCCUACCAAGGCAACGAUCGGUAGCUGGUCUGAGAGGACGACCAGCCACACUGGGACUGAGACACGGCCCAGACUCCUACGGGAGGCAGCAGUGGGGAAUAUUGGACAAUGGGGGCAACCCUGAUCCAGCAAUGCCGCGUGUGUGAAGAAGGCCUUCGGGUUGUAAAGCACUUUCGAUGGGGACAAACGUGUCGGGCUUAAUACGUCCGGCCUUGAUGGUACCCAGAGAAGAAGCACCGGCUAACUCUGUGCCAGCAGCCGCGGUAAUACAGAGGGUGCAAGCGUUAAUCGGAAUUACUGGGCGUAAAGCGCGCGUAGGUGGUUGGAUAAGUCAGGUGUGAAAUCCCCGAGCUUAACUUGGGAAUUGCGCUUGAUACUGUCCGGCUAGAGUGUGGUAGAGGGUAGUGGAAUUCCGCAUGUAGCGGUGAAAUGCGUAGAUAUGCGGAGGAACAUCAGUGGCGAAGGCGGCUACCUGGACCAACACUGACACUGAGGCACGAAAGCGUGGGUAGCAAACAGGAUUAGAUACCCUGGUAGUCC